rnacentral:rRNA from 1 species
GGGCCCGCACAAGCGGUGGAGCAUGUGGUUUAAUUCGAUGAUACGCGAGGAACCUUACCAGGGCUUAAAUGUAAGUUGCAUAAGUUAGAGAUAGCUUUUUUCUUCGGACUACUUACAAGGUGCUGCAUGGUUGUCGUCAGCUCGUGCCGUGAGGUGUCAGGUUAAGUCCUAUAACGAGCGCAACCCCUGUUGUUAGUUGCCAGCGAGUCAAGUCGGGAACUCUAACAAGACUGCCGGUGCAAACCGCGAGGAAGGUGGGGAUGACGUCAAAUCAUCACGGCCCUUACGUCCUGGCUACACACGUGCUACAAUGGCCGGUACAGAGAGCAGCCACUACGCGAGUAGGAG